UACAGAGGUCUCAAGCGUUGUUCGGAUUCAUUGGGCGUAAAGGGUGCGUAGGUGGUGAUGCAAGUCUGGUGUGAAAUCUUGGAGCUCAACUCCGAAAUUGCACCGGAUACUGCGUGACUCGAGGACUGUAGAGGAGAUCGGAAUUCACGGUGUAGCAGUGAAAUGCGUAGAUAUCAGGAGGAAUACCGAUGGCGAAGGCAGGUCUCUGGGCUGACACUGACGCUCAUGCACGAAAGCGUGGGGAGCAAACAGG
rnacentral:rRNA from 1 species